rnacentral:rRNA from 1 species
GAUUAAGUUAUUAAGGGCGCACGGUGAAUGCCUUGGCACUAGAAGCCGAUGAAGGACGUUACUAACGACGAUAUGCUUUGGGGAGCUGUAAGUAAGCUAUGAUCCAGAGAUUUCCGAAUGGGGGAACCCAACACGAGUUAUGUCGUGUUAUCGACAUGUGAAUUCAUAACAUGUCAGAAGGUAGACCCGGAGAACUGAAACAUCUUAGUACCCGGAGGAAUAGAAAGAAAAUUCGAUUCCCUGAGUAGCGGCGAGCGAAACGGGAAGAGCCCAAACCAAUGAGCUUGCUCAUUGGGGUUGUAGGACACUCUAUACGGAGUUACAAAUGUAUUUGUUAGACGAAGUAGUUGGAAAGCUACAUCAAAGAAGGUAAUAAUCCUGUAGUCGAAAAUGAAUACACUCUUGAGUGGAUCCUGAGUACGACGGAGCACGUGAAAUUC